UCCGUCCUAAAGAAAAAAAAGGCCAACUACCUCGUCCAUUUCUAAUCUGGGAUGAGUCAUCUAAAAAAACAGGGGCGGAGUGGAUGAGGGGUGCGAUCGUCCGAGCGCCGAGCGGCGGUUGGGCUCCGGCGUCGUGGAACGCGGCGGGCCGAGCCGUCGUGUUGCAACGUCGGUAGUACUUGGGGUCAGGGCUUCUUCAUGAUACGGGGGCAUCUCCCGUGUGGACGGGGACUCGUCGGCUGAGUUGCCGGCGGCGAACACUUGGCCGAAGACGGGCCCACUCCAUGAGCCAGGGGCUGCGGGCGGCGUCCUUGGCUGGAGGGCAAGCUGGUCGUUGUUGGGCGGCGCGGGAGUCGUGUCUGCUGCUUGAAGAGGUACUUUGACGCUCUCCGAUAGAUACCCCAGUCCUAGCAAUUUGCUUCAAGAUCCAGCUUUGUCUGUUUGAUUCAUUUUUACGAGAGUUUUGUUUGAUUCCUUCAUUCAUACAACUUCUACAUAGAUUGCUUUGUUACGCCCGACUACUCGACUAGAAGGAGAUCCUCGCAGGCUCGCAGCAUAUCCCUCAAUUUAUUGCCAGAAUGUUUCCAGGGUAUCCCUAUUUUAGUUGCCUCGUAUCUUGGACUAUUGCUGCAGGAGCGUCAGAAACAUGCAUUAAAUACUUGACCAUGAUCACCACAUGGUACACGUUAUUUGAUCAUGUAGCGAUUUAGUUCAUAUUGUUGAUUGGUGGGGAACAAACAGACUAAUGGUCAAUUUGGUAAUGUUGCAUCUAGGUCUUGUUCUCACCCACUAAUCAAGAAAGCCAUUAAACCUUUCUCCUUCACUCUGUGCUAGUAAUUCCCAAAAAUAACCAAACAAAAGAUUGGACAUAAAAUUAAUUCCCUUGCCCAAUAUCCUACUAACUCCCUCCUCUAUAUCUCCUCUUCUCCUUGAUCAACCCACAAACCAAGAGGACUAAUCCUCUUCUCCUUGAUCUCCUUGAUAGUCCAGCAAUCAGCAAGUUGAAAAGAUUAAAAUCAAGGUUCCAUGAUAAUUCCUUUGAAUCUCGUUGUAAGGUACGCUUUUCGGAUAUUCCAUUUCAAACUUAAGGUGCAUUCCUUUUCCUUCGGUCAAUAUAAAGUACGUAGUUUAAUUUGUCUAACCUUGUGUGCAUAGGGUUUCUUUCACACGAGAGGUAAAGAUGUUCCUUGUAUAAUAUUUAGGUUCUGCAGUAAAAAUAUUGUUUUAAUUGGCAGUUGUUUACCUGUCAGUCACACAAGCCUUUAUAUAUUAGGCCUUAGAUGCUACUAAGUACUAACCGUUAUCCCUUUGUAACAGAAGAGCAGAAUUUCCACUCCCUAGUUGUUGAUCAUAUUUCUCUGUGUCACAUCCUAGUUCCAACAAUGCAUGCUGAUGGUCCACCUUGUUGAUUGCAUGCUGAUAUUGUGAGAUAUUUGAUUAUGCUUGAUAAUAUUAGUAGCAAAGAGUGCCUCAUUAAAAUUCUUAGUUGGAGAGUGAAAUUUGCGUUAGUCGUAUGUACUGAAUUUUACGGCAGUCAUAAGAUGAAAUUGUUCCUGUGAAACUGUGGACUGAAAGUGAGGAUUAUUCUGUAUCUUUACAUUACACGGGAUCAAGCUGAUCCUGGUGCUCAAUAGUAUGAUAGUUUAGCCCCUGCAUAAAUUGUGGGAAAUCCCACGUGCAUGAAAAAUGAAGGACUCAAAGGUUAACAUAAUCCAUUUUAUAAAUCAUCGUGCAUCUUGAUUAUGUAUGAGAUUAUUCUGGGAUACCGCCUCCAUUAAUUAUGUAUUAGAGAGGGAAUUUAUCUCUUGCGAUAAACUGAGGAGGGCAACAGUUAUGUUUGUCCCUGCAAUACUGAGAUGUGUAUUUCUACAUCUGGCGUAUAGCUUAACUAUUUCAGGGCUCUACAGACCAGUUUUUAUCCAGAAGAAAGGCCUUUAGUGUGCGUUUGGAUCUGAAGAAACAAAGCAAGAUAUGGCUGUCAUUCCUCCUAACUUGGCUAGUUACUAAUAUCUCCUUGAUCUUUUGAGAAGGUAGUCUUGGUGAGUGUUUGGGCAAUAGAGAACAUAACUUGGAAUUUCCGUACGUGUUUACUGUAUUCAUUUAUUCUGGAUUAGAAGCUUAAUUUCUGAAUUUUAUAGUUCAGGAGUAGCUACCUCCUGAUGUACUGGUGUAAUUUAAUAGUUUCAUCGAAUGUGAAUCAGAAGCAGACUAAGGUAUACCCUAGUGGUGGGAAGGGGCUGAUGCCUUCCCACCCACCCAGGUUCAAGGCAUGGUACUUGCAAUUUGGGGUUGUUGCACGAAUUAUACUGUAGGGGGUUCCCUUACAGUCUUUCUGUCAAAAAAAAUGUGAAUCAGAAGUAUAUGUUGUUAACAUAGUUGGAUAUACAUAUCAUGUGAUCUUGCUUUUCUAAGGUGUUUGAUGAGUUCAAUGCAAUGAAACAGAUGAGCUGAACAUAUUCAAUGUUUUUAGUGGGAAUCACUUCGUGGCCAUUCUGGUGAUAAUGGUUGUACUCCAGGUGCUGAUGGUCCAAGAAUUGUAAAGAUAAGGCGGGGGAACCUUAUUUGUGUGGUGGAUGCAAGUAUGUUAUGAGGUCAAUUUGUAACUUAUUAUACUGCAGUAACAGACCAAGCCAUGAAUCAGUAGCAAACUUCAGGAUUGGUGAGAAGAAACAUGAACUUAUAAUGUUGUUAGGACCCUAAUCUUGACUUGUCGCUGAUGGACCACAAUGUUCAAGCUCACCAAAUACUGUUGAACAGCUAACAUUAUUGGGUCUCAAAACACCUGCAAAUUAAGUCGCUUGACGAAAGUUCAGACAUGUGUCAAGUCUUGGCAUUCCCAUGUAAUCAGUGGUGUUCAUUUUUGAAAUACUGCUUUGUACUCCCUCCAUAACAAAAUGUAAGAUUUUUUUAUGCCCUAUGCAAACCAAAAAACGUCUUAAUUA